rnacentral:rRNA from 1 species
CGGGCGGUGUGUACUGGAACGAAACUUCGGUCUAGAGAAGGUAUAGAGAGCGGCGGACGGGUGAGUAACGCGUAGGCAACCUGCCCCAUACAGAGGGAUAGCCUCGGGAAACCGGGAUUAAAACCUCAUAACACGAGAGUUUCACAUGUUACUUUCGUCAAAGAUUUAUCGGUAUGGGAUGGGCCUGCGUCUGAUUAGCUAGUUGGUGAGGUAACGGCUCACCAAGGCAACGAUCAGUAGCCGACCUGAGAGGGUAAUCGGCCACAUUGGAACUGAGACACGGUCCAAACUCCUACGGGAGGCAGCAGUGGGGAAUAUUGCACAAUGGGCGAAAGCCUGAUGCAGCAACGCCGCGUGAGCGAUGAAGGCCUUUGGGUCGUAAAGCUCUGUCCUUGGGGAAGAAAAAAAUGACGGUACCCUUGGAGGAAGCCCCGGCUAACUACGUGCCAGCAGCCGCGGUAAUACGUAGGGGGCAAGCGUUAUCCGGAAUUAUUGGGCGUAAAGAGUGCGUAGGUGGUCAUGUAAGCG